GUAGGUGGCAAGCGUUGUCCGGGAAUUAUUGGGGCGUAAAGCGUGCGCAGGCGGUUCUUUAAGUCUGAUGUGAAAGCCCACGGGCUCAACCGUGGAGGGUCAUUGGAAACUGGAGAACUUGAGUACAGAAGAGGAAAGCGGAAUUCCACGUGUAGCGGUGAAAUGCGUAGAGAUGUGGAGGAACACCAAUGGCGAAGGCGGCUUUCUGGUCUGUAACUGACGCUGAGGCGCGAAAGCGUGGGGAGCAAACAGGAUUAGAUACCCUGGUAGUCCACGCCGUAAACGAUGAGUGCUAAGUGUUAGGGGGUUUCCGCCCCUUAGUGCUGCAGCUAACGCAUUAAGCACUCCGCCUGGGGAGUACGGCCGCAAAGGCUGA
rnacentral:rRNA from 1 species